rnacentral:misc_RNA from 1 species
CGGCACACCGUCCCCUUCCUCCUCUUUCCUGCAUCAGUAUCAUCACCACCACAGCUGUGGCUCCCCCCCCCCUCGUCCUCUCUUUCCCUCGCACGCGUCACCAGGCAUCCCUUCGCCGCUUCGCUCGCCCAUGAUGGACCCUUACUACGGCAAGGCGCGGAAGCCUUACGUCCCCAUCGACACCUGCAGCCCAGGUGGAACGUGGGUGGAAGAGCGCCGGUACAACCGUGUGCGGCCCACCGUCACGGGAGCAGCCGCAGCGGCCAUGGAACCCGGCGCGAGUGGCGCCUCCUCGCCGGGCGCGGAUAGCUUGACGGCAGCGGACCGUCGCCCGCGUCGAGUUCUCUGCGGUAACUGGCAAGAGGAGGAUGCGCUGGAGCGCGACCUGCUUGCAAUCCAGGAGGCGCAGCUGCAACAGCAACACAAGCAGGCGGGCGGCGAGCUGCUGACGUCAUCCUCGGCGCCUGUGCAGCACAUGCAAACAUUUCUCAAGUCCGGCUGGAACCCGACAGCGACGAUGGAGGUCAUCACAGAGAAGCCCAACGGCAUCUACACGGGCGGCCACACGAGCACGCCGUACCUGACUUGCGACUCGCGCCACCCGGCCAUGCGCAGCCUGGACUCGACCUACCGGGUAGAAUUCAGCAGCACGAGUAGCAACGUCGCAUCGCUUCGGCGGCCAGACCUGGGGGUGCGCAGCCAGCGGCUGAUGGAGCAGGCGAGGGUGGCGGCGAAGGAGAUGCAGGCCGCCAGCCUGCGGGCGCGCCAGGAGCAGCAGCAGCUGCGCGAGGCGAGCAUGAAGUGGAUGAGCCGCUCCUGCGGCCCCAACGUCUCCGAGUACCGCGCGACCAUGUGCGACGAGAACGAGGUGCUGCCCAUCGUGGAGGAGCUCUCGCAGGAUUACCUCAGCGACGAGCCCAUCACUCUCUACACCGGCAACCCCAACACUGGCAAGACGAUGGAGGUGCAUGGCAAGACGCCGGUCGACCCCGUGAGCUCGUCGCGCUUCGGCAAGCAUACCCACUUCAGCGAGUUCAAGUACGCCUACUAGAUAUCUCAAGCAUAGCGUGUCCUGCUUUGGGAGAGGGAAAGAGGGAAGAAGGGGAGGGGAGCGAUACGGCCUGGAGUGUUUGUCUGUGUGCCUGUGUCUGUGUGGUGCGUGCGUGUCCCGUCGUUGAUGAGGGUGCCGCGCACCUGGUGUGUGGAACUCCUCUCCCCCUCGUCGUCCCCUCCACUAAAUCAUCCGCUGCAUUAGCGGGCUUUCAUGUACAGCCAACCGCUUCGGCCCCUUUCGGUUUCACGUCUGUGUUGAUCUUUUUGUCGUUGCUCCCUUGCUGUCACCACGCACGGGUCAGGUGGUGUCUGUUGCGACUGAGGUGUGCCGUGCGCGUGUACGUGCGGGGGGAGGAGGGUGCAUGCGUGGAGGUGCGCCAACCCCUCUUGCGACGCACCAGCGCGUAUACGCAGGCAGGCUGUGCACGCACCCGGCGCACAGCCAGCCCCUCGCUCUCCCUCAAUAUAUACAUGUUUUACUGCACCCUGCAGCAUUUUCGCCGAUCCACUCAACAAGAGCUAGCUCAAGAGCACACGUGCAAGCACGCGCAGGCAUCUGCCGUCUUCCCUCCCUUCUCCUCCCCUCUCUGCCCUUCUCUCUGCUGCCGCGCAG